rnacentral:rRNA from 1 species
UACGGAGGGUGCAAGCGUUGUUCGGAAUUACUGGGCGUAAAGCGCGUGUAGGCGGUCAUUUAUGUCGGGUGUGAAAGCCCUGGGCCUAACCCAGGAAGUGCGCCCGAAACUGGAUGACUUGAGUACGAUAGAGGGGGAUGGAAUUCCCAGUGUAGAGGUGAAAUUCGUAGAUAUUGGGAAGAACACCGGUGGCGAAAGCGGUUCCCUGGAUCGAUACUGACGCUAAGACGCGAAAGCGUGGGGAGCAAACAGGAUUAGAUACCCUGGUAGUCCACGCUGUAAACGAUGGAUACUAGUUGUUGGGAGCUUUUAAACUCUCAGUGACGACGCCAACGCAUUAAGUAUCCCGCCUGGGGAGUACGGCCGCAAGGUUAAA